rnacentral:rRNA from 1 species
UGGGGAAUUUUGGACAAUGGGCGAAAGCCUGAUCCAGCAAUGCCGCGUGUGUGAAGAAGGCCUUCGGGUUGUAAAGCACUUUUGUCCGGAAAGAAAUCCUUGGCUCUAAUACAGUCGGGGGAUGACGGUACCGGAAGAAUAAGCACCGGCUAACUACGUGCCAGCAGCCGCGGUAAUACGUAGGGUGCAAGCGUUAAUCGGAAUUACUGGGCGUAAAGCGUGCGCAGGCGGUUUGCUAAGACCGAUGUGAAAUCCCCGGGUCUCAACCUGGGAACUGCAUUGGUGACUGGGCAGGCUAGAGUAUGGCAGAGGGGGGUAGAAUUCCACGUGUGAGCAGUGAAAUGCGUAGAGAUGUGGAGGAAUACCGAUGGCGAAGGCAGCCCCCUGGCCAAGUACUGACGCUCAUGCACGAAAGCGUGGGGAGCAAAC